rnacentral:rRNA from 1 species
AGAGUUUGAUCCUGNCUCAGAAUCAACGCUGGCGGCGUGCCUAACACAUGCAAGUCGAGCGAGAAAAGGGGAGCAAUCCUCUGAGUACAGCGGCGCACGGGUGAGUAACACGUGGGUAAUCUGCCCUGGAGUGGGGAAUAACACCGGGAAACCGGUGCUAAUACCGCAUACGAUCACGAUGUCUGCGGAUGUCGUGAUGAAAGGAGCAAUUCGCUCCAGGAGGAGCCCGCGGCUGAUUAGCUAGUUGGUGAGGUAAUGGCUCACCAAGGCUACGAUCAGUAUCCGGUCUGAGAGGACGGUCGGACACACUGGAACUGAGACACGGUCCAGACUCCUACGGGAGGCAGCAGUGGGGAAUUUUUGGCAAUGGGGGCAACCCUGACCAAGCAACGCCGCGUGGGUGAUGAAGUCUCUUGGGACGUAAAACCCUUUCGACGGGGACGAAACCGCAAGGUUGACGGUACCCGUAGAAGAAGCCCCGGCUAACUCCGUGCCAGCAGCCGCGGUAAUACGGGGGGGGCAAGCGUUGUUCGGAAUUACUGGGCGUAAAGGGUGCGUAGGCGGCGCGCUAAGUCGGAUGUGAAAACUCUGGGCUCAACCCAGAGCCUGCAUCCGAAACUGGCGUGCUAGAGUUCUGGAGGGGGUAGCGGAAUUCCUGGUGUAGCGGUGAAAUGCGUAGAUAUCAGGAGGAACACCGGUGGCGAAGGCGGCUACCUGGACAGAAACUGACGCUGAGGCACGAAAGCUAGGGGAGCAAACAGGAUUAGAUACCCUGGUAGUCCUAGCCCUAAACGAUGGAUACUUGGUGCGACCGGG